rnacentral:rRNA from 1 species
GAUGAACGCUGGCGGUGUGCCUAAUACAUGCCAGUCGAGCGAGCAGACGAGGAGCUUACUCCUCUGACGUUAGCGGCGGACGGGUGAGUAACACGUGGAUAACCUACCUAUAAGACUGGGAUAACUUCGGGAAACCGGAGCUAAUACCGGAUAACAUGUUGAACCGCAUGGUUCAACAGUGAAAGACGGUCUUGCUGUCACUUAUAGAUGGAUCCGCGUCGCAUUAGCUAGUUGGUAAGGUAACGGCUUACCAAGGCAACGAUGCGUAGCCGACCUGAGAGGGUGAUCGGCCACACUGGAACUGAGACACGGUCCAGACUCCUACGGGAGGCAGCAGUAGGGAAUCUUCCGCAAUGGGCGAAAGCCUGACGGAGCAACGCCGCGUGAGUGAAGAAGGUCUUCGGAUCGUAAAACUCUGUUAUUAGGGAAGAACAAAUGUGUAAGUAACUAUGCACGUCUUGACGGUACCUAAUCAGAAAGCCACGGCUAACUACGUG